rnacentral:rRNA from 1 species
CGGCGUGCUUAACACAUGCAAGUCGAACGAGACGAUUUAGAAGCUUGCUUUAUGAGUCGAGUGGCAAACGGGUGAGUAACGCGUAGGCAACCUGCCGCAAAGAUGGGGACAACAGUCCGAAAGGACUGCUAAUACCGAAUGUUGUAUCUCCUCCGCAUGGAAGAGAUAUUAAAGAUGGCCUCUACUUGUAAGCUAUCGCUUUGCGAUGGGUCUGCGUCUGAUUAGCUAGUUGGUGGGGCAACGGCCUACCAAGGCGACGAUCAGUAGCCGGUCUGAGAGGAUGAACGGCCACAUUGGAACUGAGACACGGUCCAGACUCCUACGGGAGGCAGCAGUGGGGAAUCUUCCGCAAUGGGCGAAAGCCUGACGGAGCAACGCCGCGUGAGUGAAGAAGGUCUUCGGAUCGUAAAGCUCUGUUGUCGGGGACGAAUGUUGAGACCUAGAACAUAGGUUUCAAAUGACGGUACCUGACGAGGAAGCCACGGCUAACUACGUG